rnacentral:rRNA from 1 species
UGGGGAAUUUUGGACAAUGGGGGAAACCCUGAUCCAGCCAUCCUGCGUGUGCGAUGAAGGCCUUCGGGUUGUAAAGCACUUUUGGCAGGAAAGAAACGUCAUGGGUUAAUACCCCGUGAAACUGACGGUACCUGCAGAAUAAGCACCGGCUAACUACGUGCCAGCAGCCGCGGUAAUACGUAGGGUGCAAGCGUUAAUCGGAAUUACUGGGCGUAAAGCGUGCGCAGGCGGUUCGGAAAGAAAGAUGUGAAAUCCCAGAGCUCAACUUUGGAACUGCAUUUUUAACUACCGGGCUAGAGUGUGUCAGAGGGAGGUGGAAUUCCGCGUGUAGCAGUGAAAUGCGUAGAUAUGCGGAGGAACACCGAUGGCGAAGGCAGCCUCCUGGGAUAACACUGACGCUCAUGCACGAAAGCGUGGGGAGCAAACAGG